rnacentral:rRNA from 1 species
CUUUUACAAUGAAGAGUUUGAUCCUGGCUCAGGAUGAACGCUAGCUACAGGCUUAACACAUGCAAGUCGAGGGGCAGCAUCAUCAAAGCUUGCUUUGAUGGAUGGCGACCGGCGCACGGGUGAGUAACACGUAUCCAACCUGCCGACAACACUGGGAUAGCCUUUCGAAAGAAAGAUUAAUACCGGAUGGCAUAGUUUUCCCGCAUGGGAUAAUUAUUAAAGAAUUUCGGUUGUCGAUGGGGAUGCGUUCCAUUAGGCAGUUGGCGGGGUAACGGCCCACCAACUACGAUGGAUAGGGGUUCUGAGAGGAAGGUCCCCCACAUUGGAACUGAGACACGGUCCAAACUCCUACGGGAGGCAGCAGUGAGGAAUAUUGGUCAAUGGACGAGAGUCUGAACCAGCCAAGUAGCGUGAAGGAUGACUGCCCUAUGGGUUGUAAACUUCUUUUAUACGGGAAUAAAGUGAGCCACGUGUGGCUUUUUGUAUGUACCGUAUGAAUAAGGAUCGGCUAACUCCGUGCCAGCAGCCGCGGUAAUACGGAGGAUUCGAGCGUUAUCCGGAUUUAUUGGGUUUAAAGGGAGCGUAGGCGGGUUGUUAAGUCAGUUGUGAAAGUUUGCGGCUCAACCGUAAAAUUGCAGUUGAUACUGGCGACCUUGAGUGCAACAGAGGUAGGCGGAAUUCGUGGUGUAGCGGUGAAAUGCUUAGAUAUCACGAAGAACUCCGAUUGCGAAGGCAGCUUACUGGAUUGUAACUGACGCUGAUGCUCGAAAGUGUGGGUAUCAAACAGGAUUAGAUACCCUGGUAGUCCACACAGUAAACGAUGAAUACUCGCUGUUGGCGAUAUACGGUCAGCGGCCAAGCGAAAGCAUUAAGUAUUCCACCUGGGGAGUACGCCGGCAACGGUGAAACUCAAAGGAAUUGACGGGGGCCCGCACAAGCGGAGGAACAUGUGGUUUAAUUCGAUGAUACGCGAGGAACCUUACCCGGGCUUAAAUUGCAACUGACGGAACCGGAAACGGUUCUUUCUUCGGACAGUUGUGAAGGUGCUGCAUGGUUGUCGUCAGCUCGUGCCGUGAGGUGUCGGCUUAAGUGCCAUAACGAGCGCAACCCUUACGGGUAGUUACCAUCAGGUUAUGCUGGGGACUCUACCCGGACUGCGUCGUAAGAUGUGAGGAAGGUGGGGAUGACGUCAAAUCAGCACGGCCCUUACGUCCGGGGCUACACACGUGUUACAAUGGGGGGUACAGAAGGCAGCUACACGGCGACGUGGUGCUAAUCCCAAAAGCCUCUCUCAGUUCGGAUUGGAGUCUGCAACCCGACUCCAUGAAGCUGGAUUCGCUAGUAAUCGCGCAUCAGCCACGGCGCGGUGAAUACGUUCCCGGGCCUUGUACACACCGCCCGUCAAGCCAUGAAAGCCGGGGGUACCUGAAGUACGUAACCGCGAGGAGCGUCCUAGGGUAAAACUGGUGAUUGGGGCUAAGUCGUAACAAGGUAGCCGUACCGGAAGGUGCGGCUGGAACACCUCCUUUCU